UCGUGUCCGCAGUGUGACUACGUAUAUUAUUGUCUGUCCCCCGGUUACAAUCCUUUCUUUUCAUAAAUCGUAGUUAUCAAAGUAUCUCCGUCGCUGUGCUGCCUGCGGUACGCUGUGAAAUUGAUCGAUAACGAAGAGAAACAAGGAGGAGGCGUUAUACAAUAGGUCGGAGGAUAAUCGAAACACAGGCGUCCUGCGGUCUUGGUGAAUGAUCACGUUUUGGAAAACGACUUGGGUUCAUCGGUCCUGCAUCUGGUUAUAAAUUAGAUUGAAAAAAUUUUUUGUUUUGAAUCAAUAAAAAACAAACAAAAAAACACAAUAGUGAAAGGAAUUGACUACACGUGAAGCAAAGAACAAAGAUAAUUAGAAAUAAUCAAAGAAAUUAGAUAGCUAAUUGUGCUUU